UGUGCCAGCCGCCGCGGUAAUACGGAGGGUGCAAGCGUUAAUCGGAAUUACUGGGCGUAAAGCGCGCGUAGGUGGCUUGAUAAGCCGGUUGUGAAAGCCCCGGGCUCAACCUGGGAACGGCAUCCGGAACUGUCAAGCUAGAGUGCAGGAGAGGAAGGUAGAAUUCCCGGUGUAGCGGUGAAAUGCGUAGAGAUCGGGAGGAAUACCAGUGGCGAAGGCGGCCUUCUGGACUGACACUGACACUGAGGUGCGAAAGCGUGGGUAGCAAACAGGAUUAGAUACCCUGGUAGUCCACGCCGUAAACGAUGUCGACCAGCCGUUGGGUGCCUAGCGCACUUUGUGGCGAAGUUAACGCGAUAAGUCGACCGCCUGGGGAGUACGGCCGCAAGGUUAAAACUCAAAUGAAUUGACGGGGGCCCGCACAAGCGGUGGAGCAUGUGGUUUAAUUCGAUGCAACGCGAAGAACCUUACCUACUCUUGACAUCCUGCGAACUUGUGAGAGAUCACUUGGUGCCUUCGGGAACACUGAGACAGGUGCUGCAUGGCUGUCGUCAGCUCGUGUUGUGAAAUGUUGGGUUAAGUCCCGUAACGAGCGCAACCCUUAUCCUUAUUUGCCAGCGAGUGAUGUCGGGGACUAUAAGGAGACUGCCGGUGACAAACCGGAGGAAGGCGGGGACGACGUCAAGUCAUCAUGGCCCUUACGAGUAGGGCUACACACGUGCUACAAUGGCCGGUACAGAGGGCCGCAAAGCCGCGAGGUGGAGCAAAUC
rnacentral:rRNA from 1 species